AAAAUUAAAACAUAAUUGAGGACACCCUCAGUAAUGGGGAAGACACGUUUUGUCAACCGCUUCAGUUAAGGAAUUUCAACUUCAAAUUGAGGAAAAUAGUGGUGUCAGUUUUACUGCAACCUCAUCAACAAAAUCCCAAUGCAAAAGCCAAAAAGAAAAUGAUUUACCCAUUUCUGAAUCUGAAGGUACCUAAAAUCUCAACAACACAAAUUGUAAUUAGCAAAACAGACAGGGAACCUGGAAGAAAAUGUUUUGGGUGAUAAUCAGAGGAAGAGGAAUGUCCAACAACAUUCAUUCAUAUAAAAGAUAAAAUUCAAAAGGUGGGUACAAUUCAAGGGUUUUCUUUUGAUUCCAAGCAGUCACUAGGCAGGUCGCAGUUCACAUAGAUGUUAAUUCAGGGGAAGACAUAAGCAACGUGGAAUGCGGAAAUUCAUGUUAUCUGAACUAUUUCUCAAGCCUUUUUAUAAUUGUAAAAUUUACAACUAUGCUUUCAGAUGGGCUGAUUGUGUUCUCUCAAUCUACAACAAAGGCCAUGUCCCUUGGUACCAGGGGAGAAAACGGUGGCUUUAUGUCGAUAGUUAGGGAGACAAACCAAGGGCAGUGGAUUGAUGGAGGAGUGAACAGUGUCAUUCUACUCUAUUGGUUUUAUAGAAUGAAAAGCCAGGAUGAGAGAAGCAACAAAGAGCUGAGAGAAGCAACAAAGGAGCACGAGGUAAGCAUCAUAUGGUCAAAGAUCCUGAUUUACCCAACAAGGAGCCAUCUCGGACCUUGGAACUGAACAUCAGAAUAUACAAACUGAGUUACAUGUCAAAACAAUACGAUUUAUAUAGAAACCUUGCCGUCAAUUUCAUAUCAAAAGUCCAACAAAAAUCGUAUGGAGGAGUAAACAUUUCCUUUAUUCUCAAACUUAACCACAAAAUUAUAACUUUUCUGCAGAUUUAAAAUUUUGUUGGUGUGCUUAACAUGUGACGAAUAUAGUUAAUUUUUGAAAAUUUUACAAUCACUUGGUAAAGAAAUUAUUGAAGUACUUCAUCCUGUGACGAAUAUAGUUAAUUUAAAUAUUUAUUUCUUGGUAUAUCAUCUGCUUUCUUUCUACUCAUUACGCAGUUUGUUUGAUCUUUUCUUGAGGAAUUGUUGAUACAUUUCCACUGAACUUGUGUUGGUUUCUACUAGAUUUAGAUUAAUGGGAAUGUAUAGAGAAGUAGUUUCAAGAAUCCAGUUUCUUAUAGUUCGCUGCAAAAACCAUGAAAUGAAGUUUGUAUGUGACUCUAAUAUGCACAGUCACAUAAGCUCAUCACGAAUAAUGGUGAUUUAAUUGUAUGUCAACAGCACAAGCCAUAUAUUGAUAUUUACUGGCAGUCAUACCAAAAGUCUCCAACCAAAAAAAAAAAAAGUCACCCUCAAAACUUAUUGAACUUACAACUUGAAAUGCAGUCCAAAAGUUCCUAUUCCGUUGUAGCUUUUGAUACGCAAGUUAAAUUUCCGAUGAAGCUGUAGAGGACAGUAUUAUUAAGGAGUACGGAGGAAAUGAUCUCUUGGCUCUUAUAAUUUGAAUAGAAGAAAACAGACUUUUUAGAUCUCUUAUGUGUUUUUUUUUCAGAUCUCUUAUGUGUAAAAAAUAAAGAUCUCUUGUGAAAGGGUCAUAAAACUAAAAAAACAUUGUAAAGGGUCAUAAUUUCAUUUCUCAAAAAUAGUUUUUGGUAUGAACCAAUUUUUUGGUCUGGCUUGUCUUUAUUAUUUUCCACGCAUGAUAUUUUAUGUGAUUAAUUUACUUUGAUACACUCUGUGCGUCGCGCGGGUACGUAUACUAGUAUUAUUAAAAACAGGAUAGUUUUAGGACAAAAAGUGGUUAAAUUAGUUAUAAAUUAGUUACAAUUUUAAAUUUGAAAUGAAGAUGGUUAAGUUAAUUUAUUUAUUAUCACCUCUAAAGGACGAUGGUCGGGCAUAUUGUUUUCAUCUUCCGAUCACAAAGCGCUGCACGAUGGAUUAGUUUAUGGAGGUACUAAGUAUAAAACAUUUCAAAUAAAAAUUAGUGCAAGCUAGUGCGUAGUUUCCCCGAUGAAAUAGGAAUUUAGAGGAUAAAAUAAGAAAAAAACCCAAAAAAUUAACUAACCCUAAACCAAUUCAAAAGCCCCCACCCACGUCUAAUUAACUUCCCAUUUUCCUCAUUCAUGGUCACAUACAAUCACUCCCACGAAUCACACAUACGGUUACACAUGACAGACAUAUAGUACACUUUUUCCGGUGAAUUCAGUUCUAUAGCGCACAAGUUCCACUACUGCAGAAGAUUUAUCUGUUACAUGUAAAGAACUGGUUUUCUCCUUCAUCAGAUGGGUGAGAAAAGUUUGGAAAUUGAGGAAACAAGUCCAGCACAUGGAGAAAAUCAGAGGCGAGAUAAGGCUAAAACAUAAGUGCAAAAAGUUAAAAAGAAGAAAAAGUCUCUUAAAGAAGCUGUGAGGUGGAAAAGCGUGGAGUUUGUCACGUAAGUAGAGCACAUCUUGGCUGUUAUUAGAUGUUGGAAUUAUAGGUGAAUCUCGAGCAUACUUUUAUCUUUAUUAUAGUGGUUGAUUGUAGAUGUCAUAUUAAUUAUCUCCUAUUUUGGGUUAGCAGUCUUUCGAACAUGUGAAUGUCAUUCUGAAUUUGUCAUGGCAUAUACAUAUCUUAUAAGUAUGUUGGUUUCUCUCAUGACAAAUUGACAACUUUAACAUAUUAACCUAGCACAUAUAUGUACUUUUUGCCACAUUUUCUUUAUCAAUUUUGUUGUGAUAUCUAUAUCGGUUUGUCGUGAAUCAGAUGAUUUAAUCCUUGACGCAGCUACUUUCUUAUCAAUUUUUUGUUUAUUGGAUAUUCUAUCGUUGAAAAAUCACGUUACCUUCUGCUAUAUGCUGUUGGUAAAUGGUAAUUGAUUAAUUUCUUCACUAUGUUUGCCUCUCAGUUGCAAUGUGAUUAGAGGACCCUUUUUUCCUUUGCCUCAUUUAAGUUACUUUUACUGAUGGAUUCUUUUCUUUUCACUACAUUUGCUUCUUAGUAGAUGCAUUGUUUUAUCACGAGUGACACUGCAUGCGUACUACUUUACAAGUACGUUCAUUUUACUUCUCACCCGUAUCGUUCUCCAAAUGAAUAACAAUAUGGUACGUGCGCUUAUCUGUUAUCAUGCAAUUAUAUAUAAUAUAUAUAACAAAACGUCCUUCAAUUUGUUGAUUAUUGACUCAGUUUUUCAUAUUGUGUUAGCUCUCCCAUUUGUUGGUUCUCUUAAUAAGAAGAUACAGAAGUCCUCUAGACUUGGUAAUGUUUAAAUUUUUUUAUAACUAUCUUCUUUUGAAUUGGUUGAUGUUGUUGGGUUUAAAUGAUAGAUUGAAUGGGAAAUGGAGGGAAAAGAAGUGGAGGGAAAAUGAGUUGUCCCUCUUGCUUUAUGAAAUGAGCAUUUGUCCCUCAUAGGUAGUGGAAAGAAAAGUUCUCCUACUUAAAAGUAGAAGUACUCCUUCUUGUUGCUAAAGGGUUAAGAAGAGGGUC